UCUCCAACAGGUUUAAAAAUUCCCUCCACUUGCGACCGGUGGACAAACCUCCGUCGCGCCGGAGCUCAUCGCCGGCGACGACGAAGCUCUAAACACCAAAAUCAAAUGCCAAACUGACCAUCACCACCUCACUGUCCUAAAUCAAAUGUCCAAAUGAAAUUACCCUAAACCUCCUAACCAGAUCGAGCUCAGAGGUGCAAGAACCUUAAAACGAUUUCCAGAAAUUAAAUGAGCCAUGACGAAGAUCAAAGACUUCUAGGUUAGGGCUUUGAUCUCCCUAACCUGAUACUACAUUGUGGUAACCAAAACGGAGCGGAACCAGAAAGUUCGAACAAAAUACCUGCCGGAGAUGAUGCCGGAGAUGACGACGAUAGCAACGACGACCUCAGGUACGCUUCCUUUCUUUCUUCUUGUACAACGUUUCUCCUAUUUUCCUCUACUCUUGUGGAAUUCUUGCUGAGUCCAAACGUGAUUAUGAUGCUGAGAAUUGAGAGUUGAGAGUUUGAAUGGUGGUUCUUAUCUCUUCCGUGUAGAACUUAGAAUGUUGAAGCUCUCACAAUAAUGGAGUGAGCGCGUACUGAAGGUUAGGGAAGGAUUCUGAAUUGCAAGAUUCUUUGGAUGAAAAUUCGACCCCAAUGAUUGGCAAUGAUUGCCUUAAUUAUAGUGUGAUCCAAGAGGGUAGUUUAGGGAAUUGAACCUGAGUUGUUAGAUCUUGAUUUAUCCAUCUGGUAAUUAAGUGUAUUCAUGAAAUAAGAAUCUGAGUUUCAAUUAGGUCACGUGGCAUUUAGGAUCAGCUGAGUGAAAAAGCACGUGUUUUAAUCUUCAAUCCAUUUGCUGCAGGUUUUCUAUUUACUUAUGGAUAUCCAAACUGGAUUGCCUUGGGGUUGGUUUAACUAAAUGAUUUGGAUUCUACAGGUUCUCCAAUCUUGUACUUACUCUGCCAUUCGAUUUUCCAAUGCAAGUGCCACUGACUCAAGUGUUUUGCACAAUUUGAAUCAGAAGCUUGGAUAGUACAUUCUUGAAUUGGUCUUGCCCUUAUGAUGUGGUUUUUUCCAUUGGAUUAGGACUCUGUCUUUAAUAAAUGGUGACAUUGCUUUGGUUUUAGUUCAAUUAUGAACAACUUGAUGAUAAGUAGUGAUGUAUGUCCCGCAGUAGGUGUUCUUGGAUGGUGCACUGAUGAUGCUUGAUUGACAGUAGAAUGUUUACUGUGUUAUAAUGCAG
rnacentral:lncRNA from 1 species